AUUGAAUUAGAACUCAAAAACUCCCGCCACGAAUUUGUUCUCCCGCUCCCUAAAUUUGAGUUGAUAAAAACCAAAGUGGUGGAGAAAAGAAACAGAUAGUCGGUCUCAGAGGUCUCCCCCAUCUCUAUCACUCUUGACGCAUCCCAUUUCUGAUUCCAGAUCUUAGAGAUUCAAGCAACCAGUGCACUGAUGUCUGGGCGUGGAAAUGGAUGCAAGGGUUUGGGUAAGGGAGGAGCAAAACAACAUCGUAAGGUCUUCCAUGAUAGCAUCAAGGGCACCAAGCCAUCCAUGGCGAGGAGAAGGAGAUCGGAAAGCAGGGAUUGAAGAAGAAACUCCUCAAGGAAGGUGAAGGCUGGUUCAACAAAACGUGUUCGACAAAAUGAUUCUAAAUUGCUUUCUUUUGAGGUUACGAAUUUGGGUUUAACCUACAACAGGUUUUGGUCUUUUUUUCUGUUAUGCCACUAGUGAUUGAUCUUAAUUACCACUGACUAAAGUAUUUGGGUAACUAGACAUCACGGGAAUGAGUGAGGCUAGAGUGUUCAGGUGGUGACUUCCACCAAGGAGGCAUAUUACGUGUAAAGCUGCGGUUGAAAUGGGGUUGUUUCCAGUUUAUCAGAUGGAGACCAAAGAAGCUAGUUCCGGGUACAAAGGGAGUCAUGAAAUGUACCGACUUGUGAGAAUAGUCUAGACCGUGAAGUAGGGCCUUUAAGUAUAUUGUAAAGGUUUCUGUAAAUCCCAGAGGAUAAGUGCAAAUAGGAAUUCAAUAGUUUUUUGUUUGUAUAAUCACCAUAUGGCUUCCAGUUAAGCAAAGAGACCAUUUUUCUAUUUCUUUCGACUUACCCAAAACAUUAUGUAUGGCAUAUAUGCUCUACUUUCCCUCUCUGAGGAAA